GUCAUACUGUGCAAGUCAAUGGAAUUUAUAAAACCUAUGAGUCUCACUGCCAGCCUGAAAAAAAAAAGGAGCACAUAUGAACGUCCCUUGACUCUGUGAAGAUCCCCUGAGGAGGGCACGAUGACUAGCCAGACGAUUCUGUUCUCGCUGCUGUACUUCAGGAAGCCGGGAGCAGGAGGGAACGACACGGAGUUUGACCACACGGGGGCGCCUGGAGUAGUCAGGAUGAGGCGGUCGCCGGAGUAUUUCGGGAAGCAAGACACUCGCAGGCACAGAAGUAGCCUCAGUUGAAUAAGGUUUGAGAAGACUUACAGAGUUUUACAGAAGAGAAGCUGUACCAGAAAUCCAUGUCACAGAAUGUCAAGAUAGUCAACAGGAGAGCCCACAUCCAGUAUGUCCCUGUCAGGAACCUUGAUGACAAAUUAGACUGUUGCCCUGACAAGCAUCUCCCAGAGCCUCCAUCUACACCUUCUGACUGGAGCCUCCAUUUAACCUCAUGU